rnacentral:rRNA from 1 species
GACGUAGGGCGCGAGCGUUGUCCGGAUUUAUUGGGCGUAAAGAGCUCGUAGGCGGCUCGUUGCGUCGGCUGUGAAAACCCGCAGCUUAACUGUGGGCCUGCAGCCGAUACGGGCGGGCUGGAGUUCGGUAGGGGAGACUGGAAUUCCUGGUGUAGCGGUGAAAUGCGCAGAUAUCAGGAGGAACACCGGUGGCGAAGGCGGGUCUCUGGGCCGAUACUGACGCUGAGGAGCGAAAGCGUGGGGAGCGAACAGG